CCUACGGGAGGCAGCAGUGAGGAAUAUUGGUCAAUGGACGAGAGUCUGAACCAGCCAAGUAGCGUGAAGGAUGACUGCCCUAUGGGUUGUAAACUUCUUUUAUAUGGGAAUAAAAUGUUCCACGUGUGGGAUUUUGUAUGUACCAUAUGAAUAAGGAUCGGCUAACUCCGUGCCAGCAGCCGCGGUAAUACGGAGGAUCCGAGCGUUAUCCGGAUUUAUUGGGUUUAAAGGGAGCGUAGGUGGAUUGUUAAGUCAGUUGUGAAAGUUUGCGGCUCAACCGUAAAAUUGCAGUUGAAACUGGCAGUCUUGAGUACAGUAGAGGUGGGCGGAAUUCGUGGGGUAGCGGUGAAAUGCUUAGAUAUCACGAAGAACUCCGAUUGCGAAGGCAGUUCACUGGACUGCAACUGACACUGCGUCUCGAAAGUGUGGGUAUCAAACAGGAUUAGAUACCCGGGUAGUC
rnacentral:rRNA from 1 species